rnacentral:rRNA from 1 species
UACGUAGGGUGCAAGCAUCAAUCGGAAUUACUGGGCGUAAAGCGUGCGCAGGCGGUUGUGCAAGACAGAUGUGAAAUCCCCGGGCUUAACCUCGGAACUGCAUUUGUGACUGCACGGCUAGAGUGUGUCAGAGGGGGGUAGAAUUCCACGUGUAGCAGUGAAAUGCGUAGAUAUGUGGAGGAAUACCGAUGGCGAAGGCAGCCCCCUGGGAUAACACUGACGCUCAUGCACGAAAGCGUGGGGAGCAAACAGG